GGCCUAUCAGCUUGUUGCUGGGUUAAUGGCCUACCAAGGCGACGACGGGUAGCCGGCCUGAGAGGGUGACCGGCCACACUGGGACUGAGACACGGCCCAGACUCCUACGGGAGGCAGCAGUGGGGAAUAUUGCACAAUGGGCGGAAGCCUGAUGCAGCGACGCCGCGUGCGGGAUGACGGCCUUCGGGUUGUAAACCGCUUUCAGCUCUGACGAAGCUUUUGUGACGGUAGGAGCAGAAGAAGCACCGGCUAACUACGUGCCAGCAGCCGCGGUAAUACGUAGGGUGCGAGCGUUGUCCGGAAUUAUUGGGCGUAAAGAGCUUGUAGGCGGCUUGUCGCGUCUGCUGUGAUAUCCCUGGGCUUAACCCCGGGCUUGCAGUGGGUACGGGCAGGCUAGAGUGUGGUAGGGGAGACUGGAAUUCCUGGUGUAGCGGUGGAAUGCGCAGAUAUCAGGAGGAACACCGAUGGCGAAGGCAGGUCUCUGG
rnacentral:rRNA from 1 species